GCGGGACUGCCCGGCACGAGCCGUAGAACAUCCCUGAGGCUAUAAGUUUAUCCUAGGGAGCUGUCCCUGUCCUGGUCCACCAGUUCGGCUGUGGGGCCGGGGUAUACGGCGCCCACCUGACCUUUUGCGUCAGAGGAUUUCCCAGGCACCGACCCAUGGUGGUUCCGCC
rfam:Citromicrobium sp. RCC1885 contig1, whole genome shotgun sequence.